AACAUCGCGCACCUGCGGGAACCUGCGGAAGGAUCAUUACCGAGUUUACAACUCCCAAACCCCUGUGAACAUACCUAUACGUUGCCUCGGCGGAUCAGCCCGCGCCCCGUAAAACGGGACGGCCCGCCCGAGGACCCCUAAACUCUGUUUUUAGUGGAACUUCUGAGUAAAACAAACAAAUAAAUCAAAACUUUCAGCAACGGAUCU
rnacentral:misc_RNA from 1 species